rnacentral:rRNA from 1 species
UACAGAGGUCCCGAGCGUUGUUCGGAUCACUGGGCGUAAAGGGUGCGCAGGUGGUUUGGCAAGUUUGAUGUGAAAGCCCCGGGCUUAACCCGGGAAUGGCAUUGAAUACUGCUUGAACUGGAGGGUUGGAGGGGGGACUGGAAUUCUUGGUGUAGCAGUGAAAUGCGUAGAUAUCAAGAGGAACACCAGUGGCGAAGGCGAGUCCCUGGACAAACCCUGACACUGAGGCACGAAAGCCAAGGGAGCAAACAGG